GACGAACGCUGGCGGCGUGCUUAACACAUGCAAGUCGAACGGGUCUGCCCUGUUUUUUGCGGGGUGGGUCAGUGGCGAACGGGUGAGUAACACGUGAGUAACCUGCCCCUCACUUCUGGAUAACCGCUUGAAAGGGUGGCUAAUACGGGGUGUUCUGGCUGUGCCGCAUGGUGUGGCUGGGAAAGAUUCACUUUUGUGGUGUUUUGGUGGGGGAUGGGCUCGCGGCCUAUCAGCCUGUUGGUGGGGUGAUGGCCUGCCAAGGCUUUGACGGGUAGCCGGCCUGGGAGGGUGGGCGGUCACACUGGGACUGAGAUACGGCCCAGACUCCUGCGGGAGGCAGCAGUGGGGGGUAUUGCACAAUGGGCGGAAGCCUGAUGCAGCGACGUCGCGUGAGGGAUGGAGGCCUUCGGGUUGUGAACCUCUUUCGCCGGUGAAGAAGGUCCUGCUCUUUGGGGUGGGGUUGACGGUAGCCGGGUUAUGAAGCGCCGGCUAACUACGUG
rnacentral:rRNA from 1 species